rnacentral:rRNA from 1 species
ACGUAGGGUGCGAGCGUUAAUCGGAAUUACUGGGCGUAAAGCGUGCGCAGGCGGUUCGUUAAGUUCGUUGUGAAAGCCCCGGGCUCAACCUGGGAGGUGCAAUGGAAACUGGCGAGCUAGAGUCUGGCAGAGGGGGGUGGAAUUCCACGUGUAGCAGUGAAAUGCGUAGAGAUGUGGAGGAACACCGAUGGCGAAGGCAACCCCCUGGGCUAAGACUGACGCUCAGGCACGAAAGCGUGGGGAGCAAACAGGA